ensembl:ncRNA C04C3.11 ncRNA
UUUUUUGAGUUUUGGAAUUGAGCAGAAGCUCGCCUUCUCCUUCCUUGGGGUGGCUAAAUGACGUGCUCUAAAUAUAGAAUACUUGAAAAAGAGGGUAGUAGGUGGUAAUUAUUUAUAAAGUGUAUGAACAAGUGGUUUG